CGCACCUGUAUGACAUCACUAGAUGCGACUGAUUUGUAACAAUUGUUAGCCUCGGAGCUCCUUUAAAAGCACGGCGUUGGCGAUGCUAAGGAGUUGGGGGACGCCGGCAGGGAGGCUUGGCACCUGGUGGCUGGGUACCUGUGUUUGUGUGUGUGUGUUUCACCUUUCUGGCAGUGUAGUGUCACCUGGGUGUGCUGUGCAGUGUAUGUGUGCGCUUCACGUGUGGUCUUUUUGGACCCUCCUUCCAGAUCGCCUCCCUGUGGUAAGCCCCUAUCCUAAUUUAUGUGUGUGUUCUGUCCUGUAGGCCUACAGAAUAACUGAACCCUGGUUAUAUUUGCAGUGUUUGCUAUUCUUUUUUUUUUUUUAUGAGUUGUAACAAAAUCAUUGAAAGGAAUUCAAUAAAGAAAUUGUUUAGUGUGAAUCCUGUCUCUGUUCACUUGUGUACGAACCAGUGUUGCUUAUGUGGGUGUUUUUGUAUAGUUAGUUUUCCUAAGGGGGGCAUAACUCCCCUGGGUGGCGUGGUCGGUAAUCUAAAUUCUUAUUGGCACCUUGGUCUCGCUACACACAGUUCAAAGUUUGGUGUUUGAAUAAAUUCCUUAAGUAACAAAGAAUUGUUCGGCAAAGGUCUGUCUCACAGCCCUGCCCUCUGAUUGUUCCAUGGUGAAAGGAUGCACCAAAUCAGGGAGUCUCUCCUUCCUAAUCAUGGUUACACUGUGCAGCACUGUUAUGUCAUGCCUUGGAUGGGUCUGCACUUAACAGUCUUAAACAAUUGAAGUGUGACUCCCAAAUCCCAAACUGUUAUUUCUGUCUUGACCAUAGUUUUUGCAUUGCCUCCUUAAAUUGACCCUGAGGUCCAAGCAGUGACUCUGGAUAUGGAGUCAUCAUCAAGAUAUUCUUGCAGGCGUACCCUCUGUCUCCAAGCAGCAAAGUAAGGUAGUCAUACCAAGGUCUAAGCAGUGAUGUAGUGUAGACUCACUGAGAAUACAAGACAUGAACUGACCCAGUCCAUUUUGCCUUAAUCAGUAGUUGGGGACUAAUCACAAGUCAUGUAAACAGGGGAAAAGGUCUUCUGUGGUUCUAUAUUCAUGAAACCACAGGGAUGCUCUAAUAGUGAUUUGUGUUACUGUGAGAAAUUAUGGUAGGCUACAGACACUUUAUAAAAUGUAUGACUCAUGAACAAUAUUCUGUUAAGUCAGUUAUGUGCUAGUUAAUUUAAAAAAAAAAAAAAAAAAAAGUAUAUAAACCGUAUAAGAAUUGGAAAACCCUAACGAAUUCUCUCUCUUCCUCAAAGCUCUAGCGCAACGUAGAGAUCCUUUCACAAUACGAGCAGCCAUGGGAAAAGUGACGCAAUUGUACUUCCUAGCUCUCUGAUCGGACAGGAGGGGGCUUUAUACACUUUCAGUCUGCUUAGCUUCAACUUAACCUGCCCUGGAGCAGAUUAGUCAUGUAGAGUCAGUGGCCACAGUGACCUAACCAGCUGAAAAGAUAACCACCUUCAUGGUAUGGAUUAAGCCAGAGUUUUAGCCAAAAUUAACUAAUUCUGCAAUCAUGCUUUGUGGUACUCUGCUCAGCCAUGGGCCACACACACCUUUCCUUUGGUCUGUCCAUCUACUUAAGAUUAAGAGUUCACACUUAAUUGUUGAUUGGUGUUUUCUAUUUUGUUUAUCUCAAUAAAUUCUAUUUUAUUGAA